GUUGUCGUUCUCCGGUGGUGCAAGUACUUCGCGAGGUGGCCGGUGCCGCUGAGUCAAAGAGAGAAGCAAGAAGCGGACACACACUUCGAAGAUAUGUCUUCGUAUCCGUUGCUUAAUGGUAACAUCGAUAGAAAGCACCGGGGCGCUCUUACGGAAGCGGGCAACAACUUAGACGUGUUGGUCACUCGUACCCCAAAGACUAACUGGCUGAUACACGAUUCAUGGGUUGAUAGGUUAAGUUGGGCUGGACUUCUACCCUUG